GAUGAACGCUGGCGGCGUGCCUAAUACAUGCAAGUCGAGCGAACAGACGAGGAGCUUGCUCCUCUGACGUUAGCGGCGGACGGGUGGGUAACACGUGGAUAACCUACCUAUAAUACUGGGAUAACUUCGGGAAACCGCAGCUAAUACCGGAUAAUAUAUUGAACCGCAUGGUUCAAUAGUGAAUGACGGCUUUGCUGUUACUUAUAGAUGGUUCCGCGCCGCAUUAGCUAGUUGGUAAGGUAACGGCUUACCAAGGCAACGAUGCGUAGCCGACCUGAGAGGGUGAUCGGCCACACUGGAACUGAGACACGGUCCAGACUCCUACGGGAGGCAGCAGUAGGGAAUCUUCCGCAAUGGGCGAAAGCCUGACGGAGCAACGCCGCGUGAGUGAUGAAGGUCUUCGGAUCGUAAAACUCUGUUAUUAGGGAAGAACAAAUGUGUAAGUAACUAUGCACGUCUUGACGGUACCUAAUCAGAAAGCCACGGCUAACUACGUG
rnacentral:rRNA from 1 species